rnacentral:rRNA from 1 species
GACGAACGCUGGCGGCGUGCUUAACACAUGCAAGUCGAACGGAAAGGCCCUGCUUUUGUGGGGUGCUCGAGUGGCGAACGGGUGAGUAACACGUGAGUAACCUGCCCUUGACUUUGGGAUAACUUCAGGAAACUGGGGCUAAUACCGGAUAGGAGCUCCUGCUGCAUGGUGGGGGUUGGAAAGUUUCGGCGGUUGGGGAUGGACUCGCGGCUUAUCAGCUUGUUGGUGGGGUAGUGGCUUACCAAGGCUUUGACGGGUAGCCGGCCUGAGAGGGUGACCGGCCACAUUGGGACUGGGAUACGGCCCAGACUCCUACGGGCGGCAGCAGUGGGGAAUAGUGCACAAUGGGCGGAAGCCUGAUGCAGCAACGCCGCGUGCGGGAUGACGGCCUUCGGGUUGUAAACCGCUUUCGCCUGUGACGAAGCGUGAGUGACGGUAAUGGGUAAAGAAGCACCGGCUAACUACGU